rnacentral:rRNA from 1 species
AUUGAACGCUGGCGGAAUGCUUUACACAUGCAAGUCGAACGGCAGCACGGACUUCGGUCUGGUGGCGAGUGGCGAACGGGUGAGUAAUGUAUCGGAACGUGCCCAGUCGUGGGGGAUAACGUAGUGAAAAUUACGCUAAUACCGCAUACGAUCUAUGGAUGAAAGCGGGGGAUCGCAAGACCUCGCACGAUUGGAGCGGCCGAUAUCAGAUUAGGUAGUUGGUGGGGUAAAGGCCCACCAAGCCAACGAUCUGUAGCUGGUCUGAGAGGACGACCAUCCACACUGGAACUGAGACACGGUCCAGACUCCUACGGGAGGCAGCUGUGGGGAAUUUUGGACAAUGGGCGAAAGCCUGAUCCAGCCAUUCCGCGUGCAGGAUGAAGGCCCUCGGGUUGUAAACUGCUUUUGUACAGAACGAAAAGGUUUCUACUAAUACUAGGAGCUCAUGACGGUACUGUAAGAAUAAGCACCGGCUAACUACGUGCCAGCCGCCGCGGUAA